rnacentral:sRNA from 1 species
AGCCAGUGACAGCUACAGAUCCCAACUGGCCAUGCUGAUGUUAAACGUUAAAGGAUGGCUGCCAAUGAGAAUUGCGCGCCGGGCAGGAACGUGCAUCAUGCUUGGGCGUGAGAAAUGAAUCUGAGACCAGUGCCUUGCUUUCCAUGACAUUUCCCCUCAAGCACCAACACAUUUUCUGGUGAUACCCAAGAAACAUAUAUCCCAGAUUUCUGUGGCAGAAGAUGAUGAUGAAAGUCUUCUUGGACACUUAAUGAUUGUUGGCAAGAAAUGUGCUGCUGAUCUGGGCCUGAAUAAGGGUUAUCGAAUGGUGGUGAAUGAAGGUUCAGAUGGUGGACAGUCUGUCUAUCACGUUCAUCUCCAUGUUCUUGG